UCAAAGAGCUUUAUUGGUGGCCUAAGAAAUUCGCUUAUAAUGAACAUCUCGCCUUUUACACAUUAUUGACUUUACAAUGAAAUCAGAUAGAACUUAUUUGAAGGAGUAGGAGGUGGAAAAAAAGCUCAGAGUGCACCCGGCGUGGACUAACUCACCCAUCGUGAUUAUUUAUUUGUUCGUUUUUAAGUUUAUUUAUUUCGUGUGUGUGUGAGAGAGAGAGGGGGGGGAGCGAGAGAGAGAGACUUAGUGUAUUGUUUUAAUAUCGUUGCUCUCUUGUGUAUAGUAUUUUAAAUAUAUCGUAUCUGUGUAUUAUAGCUUGUUUACACAAACUGACAGCGCUAUGAAGUGUUCACAUUUUCUUUGGGGCCUGACUUCCAAAAAGGCAUUAUUCAGGCCCAAACAGGCAUUAUUCGGGCCUCCAAAAGUCCGGUAGCGGUGAAGGACCCGGGUAUAUAAGCUGUGGGCGCGCUCCUGCUCAGCCUUUGGGUCCUGGCUGUGGAGGAAGGAGGAGCUGGUGUUUAAGACUUUAGCAUUUACACAGAUUAACGCUCUGAAUUGAUAAUGGAGGGUUUAUUUGGAGAGCUCUGUGGUCAGAGUCAUGAUGCAGAGCGUGAGGGACGAGCGGCACGUGAUCCGCGGGUCAGGUGCUCAGCACGUGGCCAGGAGCUUGGCCUCGUUGCGGUCCUGUUCGUCUCCGUGCAGAAAACGUGGGGUUAGGUAGUGAAUCUACAGAGCCUACCACCGGAGAAGCUGUUAGAAGAGGAGUAAAGCUGCAAAGAGCAGAUGCAGAACAGUGUGUGUCACAGGGACAUAAGAGUGAGUCUGCAGCUGCGAGCUGACGGCACUCCAGCACAGUCUUUCUGCUGGACAUGGCUCUUCUGGCUCGUCUGCACACAGCUGGUCUCCAUGUCUGCAUGACUGUAGCAGCCCCAGCUGGAUGACCUUCAUGAACAGAAAGCAGGUGUGUAACUGCAGAGGUGGCACUCCCAGCACUGAAGAUGCUCGUCUGUCAUCUGAUGGAAGCAUCAAGCCAGAGCAGUGCAAGUCUUCCAUCGCUUUAAGCAACUUGUCUUCAUCAGUGUGAAUGUUGAACUUUUUUUUUUUUUUAAACCACUGUAUUUAAGGACAAUAAAGGUUGACCACACAUGACCAAUGGCUCUUUUCUUCAGUGGAUUGAUCACAGUAAACUCUGAGCAGUGUGCUUUGGAGGCUAAUCUCAGUGGGUGACAGUUAUGCCAUAAAUUCUUCUCCUGCACUGAUCAGAUGGUUGUAACUAUAAUCCCCAAGCAGCUUUUAGGUUUAGGGUCUCUUACACAUCAGUACAACAUCAUUUUACAUGUCUAAAUGUGUGAAACUUUACUGAUGGGUGGCUGUGAAUAUUGCAUUCUUAAAGUGCUGCACAUGGCUAAACUGGAAUUAAAUGUUAGUGAUGUGGCAAAAUUAUCAAACCCCAUUAAACUAUCUCAUGCAAAGGAAUAAAAGGCCGAGCUCAAAGCUGCUUGGUCAAGUUUUCUACACAGCUGCGAUCAAAACAAAGUGUGUCCAGAACCUGAGACAUUAUGUAGUUUGACAUGUGUUUUACAAACAUCUCCCUCCGUGAAAUUGACUGAAUUGCGAAGCUACAUUUACACAUUGGCAACAUAUCACUGAAGAGGACGAGUGUCACGUGAGCCUGACCCGCUGACGGUAACCAUGGUUUUAUUUUGAAGGCUGAAAGCGACCCGGUAGUCCGUCGUCUUUGUUCUCGUAAUGAGCGGGGAAACUGUUCAGUCGACCUUUUUGUGCUUGCUAGGAGUGUUGUUAGUGGUACCAGCCUUCCCUUAGCUUUAAGUGGACACGGACUUUCCUCCCCGCAGAAGACAUUUGAGCCACGACGUCCUGAAGCAGAGCAACUUGUCUGUUUAUACAGUAAUCUCAUGCUAACGAGUAGCGCUAGCUGGGUUCUGACAAAGCAGCUAACAGCGGCGAAGGUGAGCUUUUAGCUACUGACUUUUAUCACUGACACGUUUGUUCACACCGAAAAAUCAUAUGUGAGGUAAAGUUUAAACAGCUCGCUCAGUGGUGAGUAACCUGUAGGGCAGCUGAUUGCUGUAUGUUAGCAAAGCUGCAUGAUGUUGACGUGGAGCUGGAUACCGGACUGCACGCGCAAACCAACGUUUCUACUUGUUUAAGGAGUUAACAAAUGUGUUUCGAGAGACUGAAAAAAAGUUUUUGUUUUUUGUUAGGAAGGGCUGGUCAAAGAAUAAGCUAACUGUUGGCUAACACUGAGCUGAAGCUUUCGUCAACUUUCCCAGUUCCUCUAUGCUAAGGUGUCGCCGAAAUACUGAAAGCACCCUCGAAGGUUGUCAGCUGAAACCGAACAUGUAGCCUGUUCUUCUGGACUUUCAAUGGUGGAGUCUCGUUAAGAGCAGAGCCCUGUAACUAAUGUAGGGUGGGGGCGAGUGUAACCUUUUGUCUGCUGAACUGCUCGAACACACCCACAGGUGUGGCGAUGACCCGAGGACGUCUCGUUGCUCAGGCCUGAGGCCUCCUGAACAAGUAUUUCAACUUUAUAGCUACACCGACAGCACGUGCAUGCUUUUCUCUGAAGCUCAGGAAGCCAACAGGACGUGAGAACUGACGAUUUUAACCGAGCUCCAACAAGUGCCGCGAGCAGACAUGACAGCUGUGGUGGGCAAAGCGUGGGGGUGGGUGCGCUCAUGGGGCAGCAGCGGUGCCAGGUCAAAGGACACUAACGUUUUGACAGCUGAGCAACAAAAGCUGCGUGGCAGUGGUGGUUGGGGCAUCAAGGCUUGGAGCGCUUGGAUCUGGGGUGCAUGGGGACGUCAGCAUGAAUUAAGCAGUCCAGUAGAGGAGUACUGGGAGGCACAGGAGAAGCUUCAGCCUAUUAAAAUUGAAGAUCUGGCAGCAGGGAAGCAAGAGACUGAAACUGUACUGGUUCCUAGGUGGUGGGAUAGAUAUCUUCCAACUUCUUAUCUGUGGCCAAGGAAAACUGAGCUAAGUGGACUACGACACAGGAAACGUGACGGUGGGACUGGAGAUCCAUGGGAACGUGAUACUGAUGGAGACUUUUCUGAUUAUGGAACCCCCCCUCCGUCCCCCACCCCUUCUCCCUCUCAGCUGACUUCUCCUUUUCGACUGUUUGCUCACAGCUGGAACGUGGAGAUUGUACCAGAGCACUACGAGAUCUGCUUCAACUUCCUACGCCACUUGUUUGACCUGUUUGUUGUUGGCUUCCUGUGGACUGUGUCACCUCCUGCCAAGCUUAUCCUGGAGGUGCUGGGUGUCCAGGGAGCACUGAGAUUGUGGUUUCAUGUGUUCGACAGAGUGUGAUGCUAGGUGUGGAGGAAGAGAAUGACCAGACAAGAAAGGACACCGAUGACAUGAGAGACACUAAGGAACACAAAGACAAGCCUGUGUCUGUCAUAGACAAGGUAAAGACAAAUUAAAGAUGGAGAGAAUUUGCUGGCAUCACCAGUAUUCCAGCUGUAUCACACCUCCUCCAGCCCUCUGACAUCACAGCGGUGGGACUGACACAGACUGUGGACUGCAGCGUGUGUUCUGCAGCGUAACUUAAGAAUUGUAUUGCACAUUAAUUUCAUAUUCAGAGAAAUGAUACUUGUGUCACUUUAUGUCCAGCACUACAGAUCUGCAUCUGUGUUCAGCUGAUCUCACUGUUGUCACCAGAAUGUUCUCACUGGUAACUAUGUUACUGUUGUAAUCUACAAUAGAAGAGCUCAUGAAUGUUCGGAGAAUGCUUAAGUGAAAGGGGAAAACACCAGCAGGUACCUGUUUCUAUUUUCUUCUUGUUUGUGGGACUACUGUUCCCAUGAGACAGUCACUUGGUUUGAGACCAGCUGAUUGCCUCCAGUGUGGUGAGUAGAACUUGGAACAGCAAAUCUUAGAGAGGACAGAUGCAGCAUUUAUGAAGAGAGCAUCACUGAGACACUUGAGGUGAAGCAGAAAGAUCUUUGGGUCUCUUGAACACAGCGAGGAGCAGGAAUAAACUCUGAACAGAAGUCUUACUGAACAGACACCACCAAACACCAACAGUUUGCUCCUGCAUCCACUGGCCAGUUUUAGUGUGCCUCCUAAUGUUUAGCUCUUCUGACCAUGUUCAUUGUGUGUGAGAGGCAAAUUUAAAUCUGCCUUAUGGCCCCAUUCAGUUUGAACUCAGUUGAAGCUUGGCCUUGUAAAUUUGCUUGACUUUAACCUUUGUUCCCUGUUCAGCAGUCUAUCACUGCAAAUCUGACCGGCUGCUGGGAAAUCAGGAAGUUAUUCCUGCAUCAUCCAUGUCAGCAGAGUUCAGGAGUGGGGACCUCCAGGCUUUGAGGGCUGGUUCCUGCAGGUUUUAGAUGUGCCCUUGAUCCAGCACAGCUGAUUUAAAUGGCUAAAUGACCUCCUCAACAUGUCUUAAAGUUCUCCAGAGGCCUGCUAAUGAACUAAUCAUGCUGAACCAGGGUGACAUCUAAAACCUGCAGGACACCGGUCAUCGAGGCCUGGAGGUCCCCACCCCUGUUUGGAGUCUGUGAUGGUACUGACCUGUGACUUUGAGUUUGUAUCCAGGACACAGUACUGGCUCACUCAGUUGGACAGAGAGCUAAUGUGAAUGUUUGUGUAGCCUGGACAAGGGCUGAGCUAGUAGCAAACACCACUGGUGAGCUAUACCUACUCAAGCACAUGCACACUACAGCAUAGACUGUAUUAAAGCCAUGAGAGCUCCUAAAGCCAAGAGUAGUCUGCAAUUUAAAUUUCUUUUUUUAGGCAAAGAGCAAAAGAUUAAUGAAAUCUAAUUCAGAUCUUUCAUUUCAAGUCAUAACGGAAGUAGCUUCAGCACGGAGAUGGUUGCCGUUCAUUUAUAAGUGAGCAGAUGUUCGGUGAAUCAAACAGCAGAUCUAUCUGAGCUGUAGAGUCUUCUGAAACCUUGACAUCCAUUUGCAGCCGAUGCUACAUUCAAACUAUGAACUCGUUGAAGGAGCACUACACUCAUUGUUGCUUUCUGUGAGGGAUAUGUGAGAUUUUAGGAACUGGCACAAUACCAGCAGCUGACUUUAAAGUAUUUUCUGUGUACACUUAGAUUCUGCCUUUUGUUGUUUUCUGUGCCAUGAUAUUGCUUUUUUGAAACUUAACUCACAACAUAGGUCGCACUUUUCCUCCACAGAAAUGUCACGGAGGGCUUUUCCAUUUACCACUACUCUCGUAUAUAUUACCGCUGAACCAUUUAUUCCAAUAACACUUAUGGACUUUGGGCAAAAUGAACUGAAAUAUUCGUGUCUUAUUUUUGCAUGACAUAUAACAAAACUACAGAAUUUAUGUUGAUGAAAAUAUAGCGUAAAAUCAAACCCUUACUGACACUGCACUUCAUGGCACAA